rnacentral:lncRNA from 1 species
ACCAGUUGAUUUUAGGGACCUAAUAAUUUAGAGAAUUUAAUCAAUUUAGAGAAAAGAGAAUAGAAGAGAUCAAUCAGUAGACCAUAAUCCUCCCACUGACUUCACCAAGUCACUGAAUUGGGUUAGGGUCAUACUGAUUGAAAUGGCACCUAAUUUAGUCACACUGAUCAACCUUAAUGGUAUGAGCUAACUCGAAUCACUUAGCGAUCUACUCAAAAUCUAAUUCACCAA